rnacentral:rRNA from 1 species
UACGGAGGGGGCUAGCGUUGUUCGGAAUUACUGGGCGUAAAGCGCGCGUAGGCGGACCUGCAAGUCGGGGGUGAAAGCCCGAGGCUCAACCUCGGAACUGCCUUCGAUACUGCGGUCGUCGAGUCCGGAGAGGUGAGUGGAAUUCCGUAGUGUAGAGGUGAAAUUCGUAGAUAUUCGCAAGAACACCAGUGGCGAAGGCGGCUCACUGGCCCGAUACUGACGCUGAGGCACGAAAGCGUGGGAGCAAACAGGG